GUCUACGACCAUAUCACGUUGAACACACCGGUUCUCGUCCGAUCACCGAAGUUAAGCAACGUUGAGUGCAGUCAGUACUUGGAUGGGUGACCGCCUGGGAACACUGCAUGUUGUAGGCG